rnacentral:tRNA from 1 species
UUAAUUAAAGCCAAAAUAGAGGCCUACUAUUGUUAAUAGUAUAAAUGAGUUUUUAACUCUAAUUAAA